UGCCAGUAACCAGCCAGAAGCAAGUCCUCUCUGGCAUGAUGCUGUGAGGAAGAUUGGUCAUUGGGAAUCAUAGUCCUGACCAAGAGAAGAUCUGCACUACUUCUUCAGCUGGUGAGCAUCGCUGGAUGUCAUAUAUGUGAACAACCACACAGCUGAAGCACAUGGAGCUGGGCAAAGUGUCAGGCAAUAAUCAAGGAUAAAAUAUUUCCUGAAAGG
rnacentral:lncRNA from 1 species